UACGUAGGGUCCGAGCGUUGUCCGGAAUUACUGGGCGUAAAGAGCUCGUAGGUGGUUUGUCGCGUUGUUCGUGAAAACUCACAGCUCAACUGUGGGCGUGCGGGCGAUACGGGCAGACUAGAGUACUGCAGGGGAGACUGGAAUUCCUGGUGUAGCGGUGAAAUGCGCAGAUAUCAGGAGGAACACCAGCGGCGAAGGCGGCGCUCUGGGCCGGAACUGACGCUGAGGAGCGAAAGCGUGGGUAGCAAACAGG
rnacentral:rRNA from 1 species